UACGGGGGGGGGCAAGCGUUGUUCGGAAUUACUGGGCGUAAAGGGCUCGUAGGCGGCCAACUAAGUCAGACGUGAAAUCCCUCGGCUUAACCGGGGAACUGCGUCUGAUACUGGAUGGCUUGAGGUUGGGAGAGGGAUGCGGAAUUCCAGGUGUAGCGGUGAAAUGCGUAGAUAUCUGGGAGGAACACCGGUGGCGAAGGCGGCAUCCUGGACCAAUUCUGACGCUGAGGAGCGAAAGCCAGGGGAGCAAACGGG
rnacentral:rRNA from 1 species